rnacentral:rRNA from 1 species
CAGUAGCCACGGGAAUACAGAGGGUGCGAGCGUUAAUCGGAUUUACUGGGCGUAAAGCGUGUGUAGGUUGUUGUUCAAGUCAGUUGUGAAAUCCCUGGGCUCAACCUGGGAACUGCUUCUGAGACUGAACGACUAGAGUACGGUAGAGGGUGGUGGAAUUUCCGGUGUAGCGGUGAAAUGCGUAGAUAUCGGAAGGAACAUCAAUGGCGAAGGCAGCCACCUGGGCCUGUACUGACACUGAGACACGAAAGCGUGGGGAUCAAACAGGAUUAGAUACCCCAGUAGUCCCUGUCUCUUAUAC